rnacentral:rRNA from 1 species
GGGCGGUCUCCUCCCAAAGCGUAACGGAGGAGCACGAAGGUUAGCUAAUCCUGGUCGGACAUCAGGAGGUUAGUGCAAUGGCAUAAGCUAGCUUGACUGCGAGCGUGACGGCGCGAGCAGGUGCGAAAGCAGGUCAUAGUGAUCCGGUGGUUCUGAAUGGAAGGGCCAUCGCUCAACGGAUAAAAGGUACUCCGGGGAUAACAGGCUGAUACCGCCCAAGAGUUCAUAUCGACGGCGGUGUUUGGCACCUCGAUGUCGGCUCAUCACAUCCUGGGGCUGAAGUAGGUCCCAAGGGUAUGGCUGUUCGCCAUUUAAAGUGGUACGCGAGCUGGGUUU